rnacentral:rRNA from 1 species
CCUACGGGAGGCAGCAGUGGGGAAUAUUGUGCAAUGGGGGAAACCCUGACACAGCGACGCCGCGUGAGUGAAGAAGGCCUUCGGGUCGUAAAGCUCAAUAGUAUGGGAAGAAA